rnacentral:rRNA from 1 species
UCAGGACGAACGCUGGCGGCGUGCCUAACACAUGCAAGUCGAGCGAGGAGAUUCCUUCGGGAUGAUCCUAGCGGCGGAUGGGUGAGUAACACGUGGGCAACCUGCCUCAUAGAGAGGAAUAGCCUUCCGAAAGGGAGAUUAAUACCUCAUAACAUUGCAGUUUCGCAUGGAACAGCAAUUAAAGGAGCAAUCCGCUAUGAGAUGGGCCCGCGGCGCAUUAGCUAGUUGGUGAGGUAACGGCUCACCAAGGCGACGAUGCGUAGCCGACCUGAGAGGGUGAUCGGCCACAUUGGGACUGAGACACGGCCCAGACUCCUACGGGAGGCAGCAGUGGGGAAUAUUGCACAAUGGGGGAAACCCUGAUGCAAGCAACGCCGCGUGAGUGAUGACGGCCUUCGGGUUGUAAAGCUCUGUCUUCAGGGACGAUAAUGACGGUACCUGAGGAGGAAGCCACGGCUAACUACGUGCCAGCAGCGGC